rnacentral:rRNA from 1 species
GAUGAACGCUGGCGGCGUGCUUAACACAUGCAAGUCGAACGAAGCACUCUACUUGAUUUCCUUCGGGAAUGAUUGUUUUGUGACUGAGUGGCGGACGGGUGGGUAACGCGUGGGUAACCUGCCUCAUACAGGGGGAUAACAGUUGGAAACGACUGCUAAUACCGCAUAAGCGCACAGCUUCGCAUGAAGUGGUGUGAAAAACUCCGGUGGUAUGGGAUGGACCCGCGUUGGAUUAGCUUGUUGGUGGGGUAACGGCCCACCAAGGCGACGAUCCAUAGCCGACCUGAGAGGGUGACCGGCCACAUUGGGACUGAGACACGGCCCAA